rnacentral:lncRNA from 1 species
CAUCGUUAGGUGGAACAAGGUACUUCUUAACUCUUAUUGAUGAUUACUCUAGGAAAUUGUGGAUUUAUUUUCUUAAAAAUAAAAGUGAGACCUUUCUAAAGUUCAAAGAGUGGAAAAUUCUGGUUGAAACUCAAGUAGGCAAAAAAUGGAAAAAGUUGAGAACAGAUAAUGGGCUUGAGUUCUUAUCAAAUGAUUUUAAUUCAUUUUAUCAAAAGGAAGGCAUAGUUACAUAUAGAACUGUCAUAUAUACACCUCAACAAAAUGGCCUAGCUGAGCGCAUGAAUAGGACCAUUUUGGAGAGGGUGAGAUGCAUGUUUUCUAGGCUAAGGCUACAGAAACAACUGUCCAUUUGAUCAACAGGAGCCUAUCAUCAACAUUACAAUUCAAAACCCCUCAAGAAAAAUGGACUGGGAAAGCUGUAAAUUAUCAACAUCUCAAAGUUUUUGGGUGCACAACUUAUGUACACACCAAAAUAGAUAAGUUAGAAUCACGGGUUGUAAAGUGAAUUUUCUUGGGAUAUCUGAAAGGAGCUAAAGGUUACAAGUUGUGGAUAGAAACACAAGGCAAAGGGAAGUGUAUAAUUAGCAGAGAUGUAACUUUUAAUGAGCAAGAUAUGCUAAAACAAACUCCAACCAAAGAUGUGGAAGGGUUAGAUCAGUUACAGUUUGAGAUGGAGCAUGAGACUUUGUAACCUGAAAAGUCUAUAGAGACUUCAUUAGAGACAGUUCAAGAAGAAGUAGUAUAGGAAAGACUAGAUGAACCAACUCAAGGGCUAGAGUCCUAUAGUCUGGCAAGAGACAAACAGAAAAAACAAGUCAAACAUCCCAAGAGGUAUGACCAAGCUGAGAUGACAACAUUUGCAUUGAGUGUAGCUAAAAAAAAAUAAUGGAUAUGGAGCUAAAAACGUACCAAGAAGCCAUCAACAACAAUAAGGCUGAUUAGUGGGUAAAAGCUAUACAAGAGGAGAUGGAUUUCUUGAGGAAAAAUGAGAGUUGGGAAUUGGUCACUAAACCUAAGGACCGAAAGCUAAUAGGCUCCAAGUGGGUUUUCAAAAGAAAUAGACACUAGGGGAAGAGACUCUAAGGUACAAGGCAAGGCUGGUGGCUAAAAGGUUUUAAAAAAAAAAGGGUGUUAACUACAAUGAGAUAUUUUCUCCUGUAGUCAAACACAAUUCAAUCCGAUUGUUGCUAGUUUUUGUAUCUCAUGAAGACUUGGAGUUAGAUCAUCUGGAUGUGAAGACAACAUUCUUACAUGGAAAACUUGAUGAGUUGAUUUAUAUGCAACCACCCAAAGGCUUUGUGGGAGGAAUCAAGGAUGGUCAGGUAUGUUUAAUUAAGAAAUCUCUUUAUGGCCUAAAGCAAUCACAUAAGCAAUGGUAUAAGAGAUUUGAUAAGUACAUCCUAGAUAUUGGUUUCAAUCGGAGCAGCCAUGAUGUAUGUGUAUAUUUUAAGCUAACUAAGGGCAACAUGGUAUAUCUUUUACCAUAUGUGGAUGACAUGCUGGUGGCAUGUAAGGAGAGAAGACACUUGGAGUAGGUCAAAGAGAUGCUUAAGACUGAAUUUGAAAUGAAAGAUCUUGGUUCAACCAAGAGGAUUUUGGGAAUAGAGAUAGAAAGAGACAGGAGCAAGAGAGUACUUAGGCUAUCUCAAAAGUCAUACAUCUCAAAGGUACUAAGCAGACUUGAGAUGAAUAAUGUAAAGACGGUGAGUACUCCUCUAAGACAACAUUUUCAACUUUCCAUAACACAAGCACCCGAGACUCAUGAAGAGAAAAUGUUUAUGGAAAUGAUACCUUAUGCUAGCAUGGUGGGCAGUGUGAUGUACACUAUGGUGUGUCCUCGACCUGAUCUUACAUAUGCAGUUAACAUGAUAAGUAGAUACAUGAGCUGCCCUGGAAAGCCACAUUGGCAAACAGUAAAGUGGCUUCUUCAAUACUUAGCUAGUACUAGAAGCUUGGGGCUGGUUUAUGGAGGUAAUAGUCAGUUGGAAACUUAGUUACAAGGGUUUAUAGAUGCUAAUUAUGCUGGGAACAUUGACACCAGAAAGUCUUUGACUGGGUAUGUAUUCACAGUGUUUGGAGGAGUAGUGAGCUGGAAUGCCAACCUUCAACCAGUGGUAGCUCUCUCAACCACUGAAGCUGAAUACAUGGCAAUGACAGAGGCUGUGAAGGAGGCAAUUUGGCUGAAGGGUAUUACAGAAGAAUUGGUCAUGUACAAAGGUAAAGUUGUUGUAUAUUGUGAUAACCAAAGUGCAAUCCAUUUAGCCAAGAAUCAAUCCUCCCACGAAAGGUCCAAACAUAUUGAUGUAAGAUUGCACUUUGUGAGAGAUAUCAUUGCUGCAGGAGAGAUUGGAGUUGGAAAAGUUCCUACUAAAGACAAUCCAUCCGACAUGUUGAUUAAGUCUCUAAAUGUGACUAAGUUCAAACACUGUUUGAAUUUGGUUAACAUGGGAGAUUGCUGAAGACUUCCCAUUAAGGAAGGUAUUGAGACCUGAAGGUAGUUCAGACACUUGUCAACUUAAUAAGUUGUCAAGGUGGAGUUUUGUAGAGUUUGCCAACUAUCAAGUGACAAGUGGCAAGACUAUGGACUAAACUCAACUAACAAACAAAAAGCUUGCUGACCUGGGUAAGAUAACGACUAUCAUGGGAGUGUUGCUAGAUAGUUAAGAGUUUUUUGACUGUUAUAAAAGGUGCAGACUCGAGAAAACUAGAUCAAGGCAUUCAAUUGUACAUAAUAGAGUGCAAGAAAAAAAAACUUUGAAAUCGAUAACCACAGGUCUGUUUCGGUUUUCCUAUAUAGAAAGAAAUAAAAAUAGAUGAUGAGGGUUCUUGGGGAAAAGUUGUAAUUUCUUCGUUUUUUAUUCUUGUGUAAACUCUGGUUCGUACAAUUUAAUAAAGGCUUCAGGAAAUCAGUGUGGAUAUAGAUCAAGUUGAUCGAACCAUGAUAAUUCUCUUGUGUUCUUGAUUUUGGUUGAUUGUGUACAAACUAUUUGACUUUAUUCCUAAGAGAAGUUCUUUGUAAACUGGUCAUCUAUUUCUAGUUUAGUUUCUACUCUAACAAUCCCUAGUUCAAGGCUGGUUUUUUCUCAACACAUGCCUUUUGGCUUGAUGCCUUUUUUGAGGUGCGCUUUGCGUAUGUCUUUUACGUCUCAUUGUUUGAUGUGCGAGUCUUUUGGUUCUUGAGGUGGCUAACCUUAAAAAACACAAAAUUUUGAUGAAAUUCUAUUAUUUAACCCCAACAACUAAGAGAAAGAAAAUAAUAGACCUUUGGCUACUUGAAGAUUUGGCUCUUCUUUGAUAAUAGUCUCUUUAUGACGAAAGUGCUUACUUUGUUCUCACUUCGUGACAUCAUCUUGUCGAUGAGUUCUACAUUGAAAUUUCUUUCUCGUCUUAAUAAGUGGGUUCUUCUUUUGCUUUUCUCUCAAGCUCUCACUUUUUCUUUUCACUUAUCUCUUUCUCUCUCUCACUUCACCAAUUAUCACUACUUACACGACUUCACUCUCAAGCCCUUACAUAGUUUGCUAAUGUAUUUCUUACUUUCCUAAGUCUUUAUAAGCAAAGACAAGUUCUUAUAACAAUGUUCUUAUUUGAAAAGUAGUGUUCAAGUGCAUAGGUAAAAAAGGUUGAAGGUGUAAAAGCUUGAAGUAGAGUGUUGUUUAAUUCAAAUUUUUGGCCUCGUGUUGUUUUUUGGUAUAAAAACCAUUAUUCCUUUAAUUAGUGUUAAUAGAGAAGCCAACCAUGAGUUAUAUUUAUGAGUUUAUGGACUUAGCCAAGGACAAGAUUUCAUGUAAUUGUGGGGGCAUAGAGAGAAAAUAUGACCCAAUAUGGAAAAAAAUAUAUAUAUGCAAGAUGGACUUCACACCUUCAUUGAUCUUUACAUGCAACAAGUUAUUAUCUUAACCUUCACUUAUACUAUAAAGAUAAGUUCUCUAAUAUGGAUAAAGUGAUGAAGGGAUUACUUGAAUGCAUGGAUCAGAUGUUGGAUUGGCAUGAAUGUUUAAAAGUUUGACAUUUAAUUAGACUCAUAUGAUCAAGUAAGGGGUGAAUUUGGAAGUCGCAUUACAAUUGAUUCUUGAAAAUUAAGAAGUCCUACAAGUUGGUGGAUAUGUUUUGGAGAAUCAACAUCAGAGUUACGGAAGUUUGUUGGAGUCCUUAGCUUCACAUGUAGUGUUUCAAGAUGUGAAAGAAAUUAGAGUACUUUUGAAUCAAUAAUAUUUCUAUUUUUAGUACAUAUAUCGAUAUUCUAAAUUUCUAAUAUUAAAGAACUUUGAUUUAAUGUUAACAUAUAAAUUUAUUUCUUUUAUUAUUUAUAGAUUCAUACAAAAAAGAGAAAUGAACUUGGACAUAAGAGGUCAAAUACUCUAGUGUAUGUGAGGUAUAACAUUAGAUUGAGAAAGCGAAGUCUAAAAAAAAAAACACAACAAAACAAAAUGUUGAUCCAAUUUUGAUAGAGGGGAUUGAUUCAAAUGAUGAAUGGAUUGUAAAGAAACUCCUCUUCUCCUGCUUAAUCUUUGUUACCUUGAAGAAAAUAAACUAGUUAACGUUGAUGCUAUUAGAAUUAUGUCAUGCAAAAAUCAAGCGUUAAUGGACAACAUAUAUAGUUUCUUCACAUUCCUAUAAAAAAAACAUGAUAACUUUGCAAGUAAGUACAAAAAAAAAAAGUUAUAAAUUUGGUUAAAUUUAUUAAUGAACUUGUAAUAUUUGCACCUAAUUUAUACUUUAUGCUAGGUAAAAGUGGAGGCUACAAAGAGAAGAAUUUGAAUUUGACACCAACUCAUGAAGAUGACAAGUUAGAUGAAAUGUGAGGAUUUGAUAUUAGUGGAAACUUUUUUAUUAUUGAUACAUUGGAUGAGGAUGAUGAUGACAUUGGGAGGAGGAUUUAGGUUUAAACAUCUUAGUCAUAUGUGUUCUAACUCUAUUUGUUAUUUUGUGAGCUCCGAUUGGAAGCCUUGUUAGUGGAAUUCUCAUCCAAUUGGAGUCUCAGGAGAAUAAAUGUAGGUUGAGUUGUACUGAACCAUUAUAAAAGUUAGUACUUGCAAUUUCUCAUACCUACUCUCUUUACUUUCUAUGCAAUUUUUUCCAUUAUAUUUUUUAUAUUAUUACUUCCAAUUGUCACUUCCUCUCUAAGUUUAAAUUUGUAAAAGGUGGUCAUCAUCCUAUUCCCUCCCUUUACAGUGAUUACCUUAGGUUAGUAUAGUUAAAAUCCUAAUAUCUAAAAGCCACAUUUUUUAAAUGCAAUUUUAGAAAAAUAUUAUGCCCUUAAUAUUUAUUUUAAAUACCAAAGCCAUAUUUUUAAAAUGUAAUUUCAUAUUAAAAUUUUUAUUGAAAGUCAACUAAGACCAAAACUUUGUAAAAUCCUAAUUUUAUUAGGAUUAGUAUCAUAUGAGCCUAGUUUUACACAUCUAUUUGUGUCGAUUUAAGCAUUACAUUUCAUCAUCAUCCAAUGUUGUCGCUCUAGUGUACUUUUACCUUAAUCUCAUUUAUGAAGCUAAUCCCAUUUCCAAUCUUGAAUAUGGACACAUAAAUAUAGGAGGUCAUUGCAUGUGUGUGUUCUUUCUAAUCUCAUCUUUUGGUUCCUAAUUUUAAAAUUUCAAUGUUAUUAUUUUUAAAUUUUUAUUUUUAAAUUUAUUCUUAAAUAGUUCAUAAUAACAUUGUUAUUAUCAAUGUUUUUAGAAUCGGGUCUGUCAUUGAAUCAGAAAAGUUACCGGUUUACUAGUCGGACUGGUGGUCGAAUCGUCGUCGAAUCGGUGACGUCAUAAAUAUAUAAUUUAUAUAUUAUUAAAAUUAAUAAUAAUAAUAAUAAUAAUAAUAAUAAUUUAUAUUUUAUUUAAAAAUUAAAAUUUUAUUUGAAAAAUCAUAAAAUUAGUUUCAAAUUAGAAAUUAAAAUUAAAAUCAGAAUUUUGAUUUUAAAUUUUAAAUUUUAAAUCAAAAACUUAUUUUAUAAUCAUAAAAUUAUUUAAAAUUGUAAUCUUUUCAUUCAUUUAAAUUAAAAUCACAAGUUUUAAAAAUCAUGAAGUAACAAAAUAAUAAAUAUAAAAUAAAAUAAAUAAUAAUGUUGAUGGAGUAAAAAAAAAAAAUUAAAUUUGGAAAGGGUAGCCAAAAAGGUAGGAAAAUGAAAAUCUCGUAUCUUCCUUAAGAAGGAAGGGUUUUGGGGGCAUCGGGAAAUGUCAAAAAUCUGGGUAGGGGCAUCGGAAACGGAAAGGGGUGGGGACAUUGUGAGGGGUUGAGAAGAAUUGUAUUUAACAAUUUAUAUUAUUAAAAACAAAAAUAGAAUAUUUUUAAUUAUAUUGAACUAGUAGAUUUAUUAUUUUUGUCUAAUUACUAAAACAUUUAUGAAUGUUGGAAUCAAAUUUAUAGACUGUUGUUAAUGUUUAAUUAAUAACUAAUGAUUUUUAAACAUGUUUUGUUUUUAUUAUGUAGUUUGUUUAUAUCUUAUGAUUUUUAAAAUAAUUAUUUUAUUUAUUAGGAAACUAUUUAAAAAAAAAUUAUGGUGGAAAAUUGAUUGUGCAUUGCGUCUUGAGUUGGAGUUGGAAUUGAAAUGGAUUGGGUAUUUAAUAGAUGAGUUUGACUUAAAUUAUAAUUUUUAUUUAACUUUUAUUUAAAAUCUGAAAUCCCAAUCCUAAUGGGGAAAACUUCAACCCAUUCGUGUUUAAGAAAUUAAGAUUAUAGAAAAAAAUGUCAUUUAAAAAAGGAAAAGUAAGAGUAAAAUAAGAAUGUUAGAAAUAGGAGAAAGUGCCAAACGCGGCCUUACAAUGGAACAACCACAAUAAAUAGGCGAAAUGUGUGAGGCUUAUAAAGAGAGGGAGAAGAUUUGAAGCGAGUCUCCAAACCCUAAGGUGGUGUUUGUUUUUUUAGCUUUUUUCUUAAAGCAAUUUAGUUUUAGAAUUUAUGUUGUUUGUUUUUCUAUUUUUUCAUGACUUAUUAUAAACUUUUUACUAAAUAGAAAAAGCCAAAAUGUGUAGUUUUUUCUAAAUAGAAAAAAUAACAUAUUGAUUUUUUUUUUUUACUUUUUAAUACUUAAUAGAAAUAAAAUACUACAAAAACAAACAACCUAAUAUUUAACACUAUUAAGCAUUAAGGUCCUAUUUAGAAUUAAGUAAAAAAACAAACACAACCUAACUCUCAUCCUAAAUCAACUUUCCUAUUGGCCACAACAAGGCUCUCUUCUAGGGUUUUGGUUUUUAGGCUUUCUUCCCAAUCUCUAUAAAGUCUCCAUGAGCAACAGUAAGGAGAACUUCAACAUGGCCGAUCUUGGCUCCCUUCUACCCGGUGUUGUCGUCGGUAACAAUUUCAACAAACUUUAAAACCUAUAAUCUGUCUAGUUUUUAUCUGUUUUUUUGUUUGUUUUUACCUUCUGUUGUAUCUAUAAAUCUCAGUUUUUAAUAUUUUGAUUUGAUGGGGGGAGGUGAACCAUUCGAUUCACCCGAAGCUAGUCGAGUCAUUCGGUUCACUAGUCUAACCGUCGUUCUGGCGAUCCGACGCCGGUUCAAAGGCUCUCCCAGCUCAAAUGGCCGAACCGGACUAGAUUGGUGACCGGCCAACGGUCAAAUCGGCUGGUCCGGUCCGGUUUUUAAAACAAUGGUUAUUAUACCUAUUAAAGAUAUUAGAUUCAUUAUGUUAGUUAUGACUAUGAAAAGAGGAAAAAUGUAAGCUAUAAAACAAUAAAAAUAAAAAUAAAAAUAAAAAAUUUCCCGCUACAUUGCUUGUUUGAUUUUGGAAAAAAUUAUCUUUCUCAUAAGACUCAUUAUAAGGUUGUUUCUAUUUACUGUUAUAUAAAAUAAAUGAUAGUAUGAUUUGUUCUAGUAACUACUAGCAUUUUCUAAAUCAUUUCUAUUGGAGAUUCAAACCCAUUAUUAAAAGUUCUUUUAAAUUUAUAAUUUUUUAACCUCAAAUUAUAAUUUAGUUUAAUUUUUGUUUUCUAAUCAUCUACUCUCAAUUCUUUAAUCUUAAUUUUUAAAUUUCUAUUAUUAAAUUUUUAAAAUUUUAAAUCUCUAUUAUUAUUAUUAUUAUUAUUAUUAUUAUUAUUUUAUUUCAAACGUAUUUUUAAAAUUUUAAUUUUUUAAAAUAAUAACAUAAAUAAAAUAGAAAGAAAAAAGAUCAAGUGGCAUUUAAGGUGACUUCCACCUACAAUGUUCAAAGAUUUAUCAUAGGAAAACCAAAAAGGUAAAGAAAUGAAUAAUGAAAGGAAGAACCAUGGUUUUGUCUUCUUUAUAACUCCAAUAGUUGAUGUGACCAUGUAUUGUAUAGAAACCAAAUAUCAUGGUUUUGUUUUAGAAAAUAGUUUUACAAAAUAGAUUUUAAUAAUAUUUUUUUUAAAUUAUUGUCUAAUAUUUUGUAAAAUAAAAUUUUGUUUGAAAAUCCGAAAUGUUUUUAACAUAUUUUUUUUUUUUUUAUGUUUUUAAAUAUGUUUUAAAAAUAAUUUUUAUUUUUAGAGUUUUAUUUAAAAAAAAUAGAUUUUAAUAAUAAUUUUUUUAAUUGUUUACUAAUGUUUUAUUAAAUAAAAAUUUGUUUGAAAAUCCGAAAUGUUGUUAACAUGUUUUUUAUGUUUUUAAAUAUGUUUUAAAAAUAAUUUUUAUUUGUAGAGCUUUAUUAUUAAUCAUUCUCUAUAUCUAUAUAAUUAUUAUUUUUAUAGUAAUCCUAAAAAAGUAAGCAGAAAUAACUAAAAGAUGUUUUCUAAAAACAUAUUAUUAUUAUUAUUUUAUUGUUAAACUAUUAGAAAUCCUGAAUUUCUUCGUUCUCAUGCCUUGAAUCUUGUAAGGUGCAUGCAUAUAUCUCUAGGCAUAUUUAAAUCUAUCAUAGCAGGGUAAAAUGACAUUAAAAACCAUUAUUAACUAUAAAUUUAGAGAUAUAGUACCCAUACCUGGAUCUGUAUAUUCCUAGAUAAAUUCCUCACGAUAAAGAACAUGUUUGAAUAGUUUAAAGGUCUCAUGCACUCAACAUCUUUUACUGGAUGACUCAAACCAUAAUCUUGGCACUUUAAAGUAUGAGCUUUAGAAGAGUGGAAACCUUGACUUUCUCUCUCUUUGGAGGUAGAAGACGACUAACUAAAGUCAGAAGGAAACUCUAACCCCAUAAAAGAGUAUUUAUAAGGUUUCCUUACCGGGCUUAAGUGAGUUGAACUCACCAAGGUUUAGGUAACUCAAUCUAUCCUAAAUUGGGUCUUAAUUGAUUAAUUAAUUACAUAAGGUUAUCUAAUUAAUCAAUUAACCAAGCUCAAAUACUUUAUUCACUAUUCCCUAUACAACCUUACGUAAUUAUCAAAACGCCCUUAUGCAUAAGAGUGAACCUAGAGUCAAUCCAACUCUCAUAAGCCGUGUCAUCAUGGUAUAUGAGCUUAGAGCGAAGAUCACUAGGACCCAUAAGAGUAUUAUGUCACAGGAUGCUUCAAAUGAACCUCCCUAUAGGUUUAUAUAGAGCCUAUGAAGCUUCUAGAGACUCUUGGAGCAAUUUACACUAAGCCAUUGGUAGGAAGAGUGUGGAAGGUUCUAGAGAUGCCUAGAGAUGUCCACACAUCUCUACACUAUAGUGAAAGGCAUGAGAGGAGUCCAAGACUUUCUAGAUAAUUUUAGAAAUCUCUUGUAUAUUCUUGUACAUAGGUUUGUACAUAGAAUUGUGUAGGGUAUUCUAGAAUCUUCUUGAUUUGUAAGGAACCCUCCAAGGUUCCAGAGAGUUCCAUUGGUGCCUAUAAAUAGGUGAGGUCCUCAUUUGGCCAACGCACCACCCAAAAACCUAACCAACCAAGCAAGUGAGUCCCCAAAAGCACUUGUAAAGCUUCAUUUGAGCAAUAAAAGUUUCAAUUCUUUAAGCGUCGCUUACUACGUCUCCUAAAGCUUUCGAGUUGUGAACAUCUUAGCUUAGCAAGCUAAGCAUUGGGAGUAAGGCUGACUUAGCAAGAUCAAGUGUCUUGACUUGUCUAAGUGUCUCCGAGCUUAGGAAAAGACUAAGUCCGUGACAAUUAGCUUCCUCAAAAUUGGAUUUUGAGGUUUUCAACAUUUCACUAAAGAAAAUCAGCUACACUUCAAUACCCUAUGUAAAUAACAACGAGACAAAACUUAGGUCUGUGACUUAUUGUCCAUUGCAAGUAGACUCCCCAUGAAUCGGUAUCCGUAAUCUAACACCACAGUAUUAUCACUUAUCAAGAUUCCUCUCAAAUCCAUAAGUUACAAAUCUUGCUUAUCAUGUGAUCAACUGACAUACCCUACCUCUGAUAAACAUAUGUUAAAUUGCACUAAAGGAAUUGUUGUGACUAUAUGUUUCAUGAUCACGUGUCAUUUGGAUCACCUAAUGAGACACAUUGUCUCAAUCCAUGAGAAUACCUGUUGUCACUAAUCUCUAUCAAUAGUGACCCAAUUCAUAGAGAUAUAUGACCACUUUAGGAUCUCACUCAUAAGUCAAAGCUUCCUAUUAAUUUUGGAAUAAACUCAAUAACCUUAUACCAUGAUUCAUCGUAGGUCAUGUCCAGUGUGCAUUACAUGCACUAGUGUACACACCAUGAGAAACUCAACUUGAUGGCUAAGAUAAGUCAUCCCUCUAAUUAAGAGGUGGUGCACUAUAGUCUUUAUUAGAUUGCCCAAAUCCAUGAACCGACUAUAGAUAACUUAUCUAUUUACAAGAAACCCAUGACUUGUAUCUUCUGUACAACUCCUAAUGUACCUAAAUCGUGUACAAUGUAAAAAAUAUUGGACAAAUACUCAAAUCAAUGUCAAUAUAUCAAAGGAAUAGUAAGAUGACAAUUAAGUCAAUCUUUAUUAUAUUAUCUCUUGCUUUUAGGAGAUCAAUCCCAACAUGAACAUGUUUUCAUGUUUUUUUGUUCUAAAAAAUAGAAAACUAGUUUAAAAAAAUAGUUGCUAAAUAAGGCCCAUGGUUUUGCCUCCUUGGGUGAAAACACACAUAACUAAAUGAGAACCUUGAUUAACAUCACUUUCCAACAAGAUUUAUUUAUUUUUUUCUUUUUAAAAUCACAAACGCUCAGAUACUCCACAACCUUAACCUUAACUUUUUUUACUUUUGCCUUCCCAUCUUCUUCGCCUUUCCCAUUUCAUUUUAUCCUUUAACAUUUAUCCAAUCCUUUUUUUCAAUUAAAAAAAAAAAUAUUUUUACCUGUUCAAAUUCAAAAGAAAAAAAAAAGAAAAAUAUUUUUCCCAUUUCCCAUUUCAUUUUAUCCUUUAACAUCCAUCCGGUCUUUUUUUUUUUCCUAUUCAAAUUCAAAAGAAGAAGAAGAAGAAGAAGAAUCUUCUCCUUUCCCAUUUCAUUUUAUCCUUUAACAUUUAUCCAAUCCUUUUUUUCAAUUCAAAAAAAAAAUAUAUUUUUUCCUGUUCAAAUUCAAAAGAAAAAAAAAAGAAAAAUCUUUUUCCCAUUUCCCAUUUCAUUUUAUCCUUUAACAUCCAUCCAAUCUUUUUUUUUUUUUUUUCCAUUCAAAUUCAAAAGAAAAGAAAAGAAAAGAAAAGAAUAUUCUUUCCUAUUCAAAUUCAAAAGAAGAAGAAGAAUCUUCUUCUCCUUUCCCAUUUAUCUUCUUCACUUUUUUUCCAUAUUUUAUCCUUUGACAUCCAUCCAAUUUUCUUUUUCAUUUAAAUUCAAAAGAAGAAUUUUCUUUCUUAUUCUAAUUUUAAAAAUAAAAAAUAAAGAAUAAAAACAAAAGAAGAAGAAGAAGAAUCUUUUUUCCCAUUCAAAUUUUAAAAAUAUAAAACAAAGAACAAAAACAAAAGAAGAAUAAGAGUCUUCUUUCCCAUUCAAAUUCAAGAGAAGAAGAAGUCAUGGUCAUCAACCUUAGUUGUCGUGAAAGUCAUAGCCAUCAGCCUUGGGGCCCAAAUUCCAUCAGCCUUGGGGCCUAUUUGGGAAGUGUUUCCUAGAAUUGUUUUAUGUUUUCAAGAACAUAAAAUAUUACAAAACACGUUUGGUAAGGAAGUCUUUUUUGUUUAUGUUGUUUUUCAUGUUCUUAAAACCCUUAUUUUCAUAAAAUAAUUUAAAGAUGUUUUUUGAAGUUUUUUUUGCUAUUCAAAUAACAAAGAAAAGGGAUCGUUCUUGUUCUAAAUGCCUUAUUCUCUGCAUUGUGAACAUCCAACAUAUUACCAACAAAUCUCAAAGGCUUCAUUUUUAUUACUUUCAAAUUAGAACAAACAACCAAAAUAAAGAUUAUCUAAAAAAACCUCUUCAAGAUUUGGGCAUUACAUCACUAACCCUACAACAAUCGACGAGUGCAGUGCAACAGUUUGAUGACAAUAUUACUGCUACUAUAGUGAGAGACAUUAGAUUCCUCCAUCGACAAUGAGGUUUCAUCGACUUCUCUUAUCGACAAAACAAUAUUUUUCAAAAUUCAACUUUCAAAUGAUUAAUGAGUUUAUCAUAUGAACUAAUAAAAAUAUUAAAAUAAAAUAUAAUUAGAAAUUUUAUAAAGUAAAGAUUUUUUAAAGAAACUUAAAAAUGGUGCAAAUAAUUUUAAAAAUGGAUACAAUUAUUUUAAUUUUAAUGAAAUGUAAAUCUAAAAAUUAUAUAUAUCAAGUUAAUGGAAGAAAAUACAACAUUUAAAAAAACAACUUCCAAACAAAUUUUUUCAUUUUACUUAUUUUAUAAAAUUGAAUUACUUAUUUUAUAAAACUGUUUUUAUUAACUUAUUCAAACAUGUUUUUUAUUUUUUUUAGAAUUCAGUUUUCAAUUUUUUCUUGGAAACAUAAAAAAAUUGUUAAAUUAUUCGAAAAAAACCAUUCUUCAUAAUUAUUUUUGAAAGACAUUUCCCAAACAUGCCGUUAAUUGUCGUGACUGUUGCUGUCCACAAGUUGCAGUUAGAAAUGGUGGACGACCAUGGCCAGGUCCCUCUCACCCUUUAGGCCCUUUUCUUUUCGUUUUUUUUUUUUUCGAAUUUAUAUUGAGAAAAAUAUAUAUAUAUAACAUAAGUGAGAUAAGAGUGAAAAUGAAAUGAGAAAAUAAAAGCAUUGUGAUUAUUUUAAGACUGACAUUGGUCAUAAGAGUUCUUGCAAAUACUUGAUCCUACAUAUUUAAAAAUUUAUUAAAUACCUCUUCAGAAAAGAUGAGUAAAAAUAAUAUAAGAAAAUUUUGAUGAAAGUUUAAAUCAAUAAAUACGCUUAUUUAGUUCAAAACUUUGGAAGGUGAAUAAAAUUAAACCUUUAAAAAAAUAAACAAAAUUAGAUGUUAUUCCCUUCAAAUAUUUCUUUUCAAAAAAUACCGGUGACAAAAUAUUAUUAAAUUUGUACCAGCUUUAGUAUGUUAAAGAGGCAAAUCGAGGAGUAUUGAUAUUUUAUUGUUAAGGCCAACUCAAAUUAGGGUGCACUGAAUCAAACCCAGCUAACUUGCAGCCCUGCUGCAUAGCCAGAUGUCAGUGGCUACUGGAACACUUGACAUGAACCAGAGAGAAAGUGAGUAGACCAAAAAAGUUGCAAAUGCAAACUUUGGAGGACCUCACUUGGGCUCCAUUCUCAAAGCCAUAGGGUGGUGGCAGUGCAACUGGACUAUCAUAUGGCAAGGAGGCAAAAUUUGUGAUCGAGUAUCCCUGAUACGUGGCUGCCUGACCAACCACCCAAAUUCAUGGCAUUUCCAAACAAAUCUACUUGUUAUAUAACAUGUAACAUGAGAUAGGAUGACCCAUGUUUAGUUAUUCUUGACAUUUUCAAACAAAUCCGAUGUUUGGUUGACCGAAUAUAAUAUGAGAUGAAAAAAUGAAUAUCUCAUUACUUAUCUUAUAUUCAACCAAACAUGAAAUCAGAUAAAUGAUGAAAUAUGUUAUCCAUAUUUUUUUUAUCCCUUCUUAAUAAGAUAUAAGAUAUGCUAAUCCCAUACUAAGAUAACUACCAAAAAUAAAAUGGAGCUAAUUGCAUUUCACGAUCCAAAUUGUUGAUAAUUCAAUCAAUCUUUCUUGGGUGAACAGGCACUAUAAGCCGCAAUGGAUCUAAUUGCACCUCUUCAAGAUUUCAAAAAGGCAUUUUUGCCGCAAUGGAUCUAAUUGCACCUCUUCAAGAUUUCGAAAAGGCACUUUUGGAACACCAAUAGACAUAAAAUAACAUAAAAAAGAAUUUAGUACUAUAUUUUUCUUUGGUAUGAGAUAUGCAUCUCUCUCAUGUAUCAUAAAAUUAUUUUUUUAUUAAUUUUUUAUUUUUUUAUAUGCUCAUUUUGCAAAAUAAAGUUUUUUUUUUAUUAUAAAUUACAUUUAUGGUUAAAAAAAGAAAAACUAAAAAAAAUAUUUAUAAAGUAAUACUAAUGUUUGACAUAUAAAUUAUUUUUAUAUAUUAAAUAACAUAAUAUAAAAUUAUUAUAGAGUUUAAAUAUUUUAAUUAUAAAUAUUAUUAAGCAUAAGAGACAUUUUAUUUUUUAAAAUAAAAAAUAUUCAAAUGUGAUAUAAUUUUUAUUUUAAACAUUGAAAAUAUUAUAUAUUUCAUAUAAUUUUUUAUGAAUUUCAUAAAUUAAAUAUAAACAUAAUAUAACAUAACAUAUCUCAUUGGAUAUAUUAUUUUAAAAUAUUAUAUCUAUAAGAUAUAUAUUCUAAGGAUAUCAUAUUCAAAAGAUAUAAAUUUUAUAUUUAAUGGGAUAUGGUAUCUUAAGAUAUACAUAUCAUAUCCUAUUAACCAAACAUACCCUUAGUCCAUAUUUGGUUAAUCGGAUAUGACAUGAGAUAAGAUAAGAGAUGAGAUAUUGUAUCAUAUCUCAUGUUUGAUUGGUGAUGGAAUAUGACAAGUUAUUUCAUCACUUUUAUCUAAUUCUAUGUUCAACUAAACAUUGGAUAAGAUAAGUAGAGAUAUAUAUUAUCUUUUUUUUUUUGUAUCCCCUCUAUAUGAAAUAUGUUAAUCUCAUGUAAAGAUUUCUCAUCUUAUGUUUAACCAAACAUUGAAUAAGAUAUGUAGUGGAACAUAUUAUCCAUUUUUUUUUUGGAGAAUUAUCUUUUGGAGGUAGAUGGGUCCCCAAAUUAACAAAAGGUCCAUAUAACUCUUCAAAUUGAGUUGGAGGAUAUGAAAUAGUAACGGACAAAUAUACCCUUUAAGAACACAUAAAAUAUUUUAUAAAAUUAAGUUAAAUAAAUUUUUUUAAUAAUUUUUUUUCAAAAAUACUGAAUUAAAUAAAAGUAGUUUUUAAAAAUAUUAAAUCAAAUAAUUUUUUUUUCAAAAAUAUUAAAUUAAAUUAAAGUAUUUAAAAAAUUAUUAAAUUAAAUAUUUUUUUAAAUAUUAAAUUAAAUAAAUUUAUUUUUAAAAAACAUUAAAUUAAAUAAAUUUAUUUUUAAAAAAUAUUAAAUUAAAUAAAAGUAUUUUAAAAAAUAUUAAAUUACAUAAAAGUAUUUUUAAAAAAUAUUAAAUUAAAUAAAAAAUAUUAAAUUAAAUAAAAGUAUUUUUCAAAAAUAUUAAUUUUUUUUCUCAAAAUCAACAAAGGGCAUUUUUGGAAAUACUGAAGGAUGAUAUCCUUCAACUCAAUUUCAAUACUUUCAUUGGGUCUUGGGCUCAAUUUGAAGAGUUACAUGGACCUUUUGUUAAUUUGGGAGCCCAUCUACCCCCAAAACAUAAUUCUUCCUUUUUUUUUAUCCCCUCUACAUGAUAUAUAUUAAUCACAUGUUAAGAUAUCUCAACCUAUGUUUGACCAAACAUUGAAUAGGAUAUGUAGUGGAAUAUAUUAUCCAUUUUUAUUUUUUUAUUUUUUUUAUUUUAUCCCUUUUACAUGAGAUAUGUUAAUCUCAUGCUAGAAUAUGACAUACGCAUAUUUCAUGUAUCAUAAAUUUAUUUUAUUUUUAUCACUUUUUUAUCUUUUUAUAUACUCAUUUUGUAAAAUAAUUUUAUUAUUAUUAUAACUUAAAUUUAUGGUUAAAAAAGAAAAACAAAAAAAUAUUUAUAACAUAAUAUUAAUAUAUAAUAUAUAAAUUAUUUUUAUAUAUUGAAUAACAUAACAUAAAAUUUUUAUUUAUAAAGUUUAAAUAUUCUAAUCAUGAAUAUUGUUAAAUAUAAGAGAAUUUUUUUUUUAAAUAGAAAAUAUUAUAAUAUGAUAUAAUUUUUAUUUUAAACAUUAAAAAUAAUCUAUAUUCCAUAUUUUUUUUAUUCAUUUCAUUAAUUAAAUAUAAACAUAAUAUAACAUAACAUAUUCCAUUGGAUAUGCUACUUAGAAUAUCAUGUUCAUAUCAUAUCCUAUUGGAAGUCAUAUCCUAAAAUAUGCAUUUCCUAUUUAAUGAGAUAUAAUAUCCCAUGAUAUACAUAUUUUAUUCUAUGGGAUAUAAUAUCUCAGGAUAUACAUAUUUUAUUCUAUCUUAUCCCAUCAACCAAACGUAACCUUAGCGAAACUCAAUUACACCUAUAGAAAAUAUAGGGCCACGAACCUUACAAAAACCAAGCAGUUUGUUAGCUUCAUGCUAACUGUUGGGAACACACCCGUGGAUACGAAAAAGUAGGCACUGUUGAGUUGACAAAAAACCUAGAUGAACUUCAGAAAAGAUGCAUAUAUGUGACCAUGGGUGGGAAGCAGAAAUAUAACGAGGCAAAAUACAAGAAUACACAUUAAGGGAUAAGUUACCUAGUGUGCAUAUACCCAAAACAGAAGGCAGCAUCAACCCAUCCCUAUCAUUUAAAUAACCAAAAGAAUUCCAACCCCAAGAACUAGCAGUAGCAGUUCCAUGAUCAGCUCAAAAGCCACCAAAAGAUAGAACAGCAUGAAUAAUCAAAUGUAAUUCCAUGCUCAUUGGAUAUUUUUACAAUGGUCAACAGCAAGAUUUGAUGGGUCAUCGUCCUGUUUUCUGUAAUUCCAUAUGAAAACCAAGAAAAUAAGACUGCGGAAGAGAGAAAUGUGGAGGUAGUGAAUUAUACAGCGUCUAGUUUCCAUUUUUGCUAUACAAACAAUUUAACUUAUCAUCAACUGUAAGUUUCUAUACGUUAUCCUAGUUCCUACUCUAUACACAUAUAUAUGUGCAACUUUUAGAGUUCAUACAUACAAGCAGGGAAAUUGGCAAUGGGCUUUCUUCCAACAGAGUAUUAUUGAGUUCCAACAAUACUUUGAGACAGAUUUUUUUUUUUUUUUUUUUUUUUUUUAAUAGACACUUUGAGACAGAGAUUUCAAAUGCAAGCUAACUGAUAUGAGCAAUUCUUAUCAUUAGUGAUUGCAUCUCAUUUAAUUCUUGACACUGUCAAAUGGGCAAUGCUCAUGACAUCAAAGCACUAAUACUUCUUUCUAGUUAAGUUGACCAAACAAAUUCAAAUGCAUAAGUGCCCAAAAUAUAAGAAUCAGGUAAGUAUAUAAAUAGUAACCGAUACAAAGAGCAGUUCAUUUAUUUGUUGGAUUUUGCAUUCUCUUUACAAUCAUAUUUAUUUAUUUUUCCCCUUCCUUAUAAUUUGAAAUGAAAACUUAUAUGUAACUUUGUUUUGUGAUGUAAGCUACUUAUUGUGCACAUUUUUUAUGAGAAAAGGUUCAUCAGAAAAUUGUAAUCCUUGUUUAUGCACUUAUCAUAUAUUUGUAUUUUUCUUUAUACUAGUGUUUAACAAAACAGUUAAUUCAGACUGACCAGAUAAGGACUGGAUUGAUCCUUGAAGAACUCAUCUUUCCAACACAAGCAAGAAAUCAUACAAGCAUAGUGCAAACCUCAAGCAUAUGGAUUAAAUGGCAUUAAUAUAGCCAUAUGGACAAUUAAAACAUGGAAGCAAGUAAAACAUCUUGACUGCAUCAACAAGAAAUAUGUAGUGCUGGCAGCUCAGUUGGAAACUAGAUUUGGGUGGAAAACAAACCAACUAUGAAAAAGAGAUUGAGAAAGAAGAGAAAAUCAAUAAGGAGCUCUUGUUCUACAUCAUGUGUUUCUCCUGAAUUUGGCUCUUGACAAAGCCAAAGAGGAUAUUGAGAAGUCAUAACAGAGUACAGCAAUUGGAUCCAUGACUUCAUGAAGAGGCUCCAAUCAGGUGGUAGUGAAAAGUUGCCAACAUCAAGGAAAGAAAGUGAGGAUUCUCUAGAGCUGAAUUUCAUGACUAAGAAGACAAACUAACAUAAAACAUGAAAUCAUUGGCCUAGGUGUUAGGACCUUAGCUAAGUCAACAUGAUUGCAGGCACACUAAUUAACCCAGCUGAUAGGAUAUCACAGCUAUAGGAAGAAUAAAAAACAUGAGAAAUAAAAAGUGGAUGCAUCUGGAAACCAGAAAUAGAUAUACAUUUUGUGCACGGUAGAAGAACUAUUGUAGGGGAUAUAUUUUAAUAAAGUCUAACCAAGACCUUUCAAUGUUUCACAGAACAAUGGCACAAUAAAACUGAAAAACCAUAUUGAUCCUUGUAAUGCCACAGGUCACUGCAGCCUUUUUCUCUGUGCCUGUGUGGAGCUAAGGAGCAUAGCUAUGGUUAAAGUGUGCUAAGUUUUGGGGUUUCACAUCUUGAAGUGUUGAGUUUCUAACUUGGGGUCCAGGUACAAAAAUAAGAAGAUGACAUCAAAUAAUAAUUUAGGAAAGCAUGCCCUCAGCUAUACUGAUAUCAAGCAGGAAAAGGAAGAAAUGGUUGAAAGCAAGUUUCCAUAGAAAGAGAAAGGAAGAAUCAUAUAUGUAAACUCAACACAGAAGAGCUCUUAACAGUUGCCAACAAUACCUCAUUGAAUUUAAACUUUGUUAUCUUUCCAUAAAAACAAGAGCAAUAACAAAAAUCAUAUGGAAAUUAUAUAAAAGAAAACACCAGUACAAUAGGCAACACCCAGAUACUGAUUACAAAUGCUUCAGUCAGUGAAGCUUAAUAAAAGAAACAAAAACAUACCAGAUAUAACCCAAAAAAAAAAAAUCUUGGUCAAGUCUCAAGCAGUCAAUCAUAGCCAGCAACUUUGUACCUUAACUUCACAUUGUGACUUUCCUGUCAAAAGCCCCAAAAAUGUACCAUUUUCAUUUGAAAGAAGGACGCAAACGAUUCAAAUGAAAACCAAUUAGAAACUUCAUAAUGUAGGGGAAAAAAAGGCUCAAUUCAACAAAAUUCUUUCAUUUAACUAGUAGACUUUACCUGCUCAUGAACCUUGGCUGAAGUCUUCUCCACAAGGCGAGCCAAGCUGUCCAGCUUGGCUAGCAUCUUCUCGUACAAAUCCUCCAAUCCGGCUGUAUAAUUCGUGGCUUCAGAGCCCAUCAACCGACGUAGACUCCCAAUCUGGACACCCUCCGCGCAAGUAUCCAAUUCGCGCUGAGCCUGAGCCUUGGAGACUCGCGUCGCAUCGGUGUCGUCCUCCGCCAUUGGCGAACCCCUCAAAUCACAGGCCAACGAAGGGAAGGGAGAACUAGGGCUAAACGAACCGUAAUGGCCGCGGAAUGCGGGUCCAAUGUUGACGAUGUCGAUUGAUUUGGGCUCGAGAGUCUGAGAAGAGAGGCAGUACUGGUACGCUUUGUACUCAUGCGUGUGAAUGACUUGAUCCGACAAUGGCGAGGCGAAUAGGAGGAAGAGAGAAGGUCUGAAAUUGGAGAGGGAGUUUUCGAUUGGGAAAGAGAAUUGAGCUUUGGUGGAGAGACAGGCGGUGACGGAGGACUCCCGAAGGGAAGGGCGGAGGGGGGAUCGGCGGCGGCCGGAGAACCAACCAAUGAGGGAGCGAAGGGGGACGCGGUCGGCUAGGAGGCGGCGAAGGGCGAGAACGUUGACUUGGCCGGAGGAGUCGUAGAAACUGUCGAUGGUUCCGGAGCAGAGGAAUCCGGAGACGGUAGCGACGAAGGUGGAGGGAUCGGAGGAGGAGCCCAGCGGGUCGUCGUCGGAGAGGGAGGAGGGAGCGAUGUGGGAGACGUGGCCGAACAGGAGACCGUCCACGUCGCCAAGAGCGGUGGAGAAGCGUUGGAUCAUGGAGGCUAGGGUUGGCCCCGAUAUUUGUAUUUUCUGCAGUGGAAGGUCGUCCAUGUCACAACUGCGAUUGUGAGAACGCGAGAAGACAAGAGAGAGGAAACGGAGGCUGGAGCGAACCACAAAUUUUGAGCUAAAUUAGUAAAUUACCACUUCUUUUCUGAAAUUGUACUUGCUGCCAAAGCCGUCCCUUUUAUUGAACCUAAUUUUUGUUUUGCUACCCUAAAUUCGAGAACUAGAGACCUGUCACAUUUUAUUGUGUUACUACAUUUGUUCUGCAAUUGUGAUUUCCACCGCAUCAUGGGUGCUUCAGAUUAUCAUGCAAUGAGCCAAUGACACAAAUGAAGGAAAAUUCAAUAAUCUUCAUUAUAUAACCCAAGUAAAAGAAGCUACAGAAUUUCAUAACUGUUCAACAUGAACCCAGAAUUAUUACUUUCCAUGAUCAAAAAAGAAUACUUACGCCAGACAAAAACAUAUAGACUUGUAUUUACACACAGACAAUAAAGCAACUACCAAAAUUAAAUCCCAAGAAUUAAAGAAUGAAUUUCAACACUAUCCAACCAACCCAACCAUUUAUUCUUAUUCGUUUGUCAAGGGGGGGACUUUGGUUCCAUCAUCAACAGAAGUGGCUCCCAGCUCUGGCUUAAUCUCUUCCAGUUGCUGGAGAACUUGUUGAACGUCCGGGCGUGCAGCAGGCGAAGGGUCAACGCAGUGCAGACCUAAUUUCAAUGUGUUAAGCAACUCAUCACCUGUGGUUGAUGCAUCUCUCAUCAGCUCCAAGUCGAAUACUUCAUUUGUCCACUCCUCCUUUACGAUUGAUGCUACCCACUGGGGUAAAUCCACCCCUCCAUCCAUUUCCUCACCUGGAGACUUCCCUGUUAAGAGUUCCAAUAUGAUUACCCCAAGGCUGUAGACAUCACUCUUGGUAUUGGCCUUCUUUAUCUUUGAAAGCUCUGGUGCUCGGUAGCCUAGUGCUCCUGCAGUGGCAAAAACAUUGGUGUUGGCUGCAGUUGUCAUAAGCCUGGACAGGCCGUAGUCCGCAAUAUGAGCAUUGGUUUGCUCAUCAAGUAGUAUGUUGCUCGAAGUGAGAUGCCCAUGUGUUAUGUUCUCUUGAGCAUGGAGGUAGCAAAGGCCACGCGUGAUGCCCAUGGCUAUGUUCAUCCUUGUUGGCCAACUGAUCACGGUUUCAGGCCCACGAGCUGCAUAUAUAAAGAUGUACACACAUGUUGUUAGACUAAUCAGUCAGUUCAUAUGCGUUCAUGAGAAUCACGACUACUAAAUAAAGUGUCUUCUUAUUCAUGACUUCUUUCUUUGCAACUUUUUCCCUAAAUUCUAAAUGACUCACAAUUUGUGUAUAAAAUUUAAGAGUUGGGUUGAACCAACUUACCGUGAAGGAAGGAUGAAAGACUCCCUUUAGGCAUGUAAUCAAAGACAAGGAGCUUCUCUCCUUUGGGUCCCAUGUAAUAAGCUCUGAGAGCUAAGAGAUUUGGGUGUCUGAUCUUUCCGAGAGCAGCAACCUCAGUCUCAAACUCCUUAUGGCCUUUUGCAAUCUUCUCCCUUAACCUCUUAACUGCAACUUGGUUACCAUCUUCCAGUGUUGCCUUGUAUGAAGUCCCAUAAGUGCUCUUCCCCAUUAUCUCUGCUGUUGCGCACAGCAGAUCAUCGGCUGUGAACACAAAUGGCCCAUCAAAAUGGACUAGUUUUCCACCAGUUUCACCACCACCACCAGAUUCAGCUUCAGUCCCAACUGCUGGAACUGCCUUCUCGCCUCCCCCUGUGGCAGAGCCGCCUGCUGUUUUACCACCUUUUGCUUUUGUAGCAGCCUUUUUCCUCAUCAAACAACAAAGCAAAAUACAGCAUAGUAGAAGCAGAAUUACUAGUAGAGCGCCUGCUGCUAUGAGAAUUAUGUCCUUGGUACUUAGUCUGCGGCGGUGAUAUUGUUUUGGUGGAGGUGAAAGAAUUUGAGGUGGAGGAGGACAUGGGGUGGAAAUGCUGUACCCGCAUAGCUGUAGGUUCCCUACAAAAGAGCUUGAAUUGAACUUUUGGGAGAGGAGGGAUGGAACAGAACCGGAGAGAUUGUUGUAAGCAACACUGAAAUCGCUGAGAUUGGGAAGGUUGGCUAGUGAAUCCGGAAUUGCUCCAAUGAGUUGAUUUCCAGAUAAUUCAAUUUGCGUGAGGCCAGAGAUGUUCCCAAUAGUUGCAGGGAUUUGGCCUUCGAAUUGAUUAUUCUUCAGGUUGAAUACCGACAGAUUUUGCAACCUGUCCAUGGCUUCUGGGAUAUUGCCAUUGAGGCGAUUGCCCUCAAGAUUCAACAAAGCUAGAGAGGAGAGGUUGGAAAGGCUAGCAGGCAAGCUUCCAUGAAUGGAAUUGUUGGACAAAUCUAGCACUUGGAGCCUAGAGAGACUUCCUAAUUCAUCAGGUAUGAUCCCAUCAAUCUGGUUAUGACUCAGAGAAAUCCCUUCAAGCUUUCCCAAUUUACUCAGAGAAAUAGGAAUAUCUCCCGAGAUACGAUUUUGAUCAAGAGUCAAGGUCUGAAGUUGAUAAACAUUCUUCCCUGUUCCACCCCAAGUAUUUGGAAUGGAACCAGAGAGGUUGUUAUGUUGAAGGGCAAGGAAAAUAAGAGAGUGGGAUUGAGUGAGACUAACCGGGAUUGACCCAAAGAAUGAGUUGAAGCUCAGAUUGAGUCUGUAUAAUUUGGUGGAGUUCGCCAGACUAGGCGGAAUAGUCCCAGUGAGCAGAUUGUUACUGACAUCAAGGGUCUGAAGAAGAAGGCAGUAGCCAAUAGAAGGCGGGACUGAACCUGAAAGCCUGUUAUUGAAGAGAUAAACACCUCUAAGGUUGGGAAGGAACCCGAGCGACGUAGGGACAGGGCCAACAAGAAGAUUGUCAUGGAGACUAAUCCUCCGGAGUGCUUGCAGCUGACCUAUCUUCUCAGAGAUUCGGCCCCCCAAUCCCUUCCAUGGAAGUUGAAUGGCAAUAACCUGUCCCCGAGCACACUUGAUUCCUAUCCACCCACCAGAACAAGCUUCCAAACCGCUGUCAUUCCAGGUACUCAAAACGCCUUUCAAAUCAACGAAUUCAUGUUUUAAGGCUUUGAGUGCCUGAUAAUCUGCUUGAGUCACCACCACCCCAUCCCAUGGAUGGCCCGAAACAAGUGGAAAGGUGAGAAGCAGCACCUGAACCAACAAGAACAGGUGGUUGAAGAGGAAGGACUUGAAUUUGUCACGCGGAUGGCUCUUCCAUUUCUUUUUCUUAUUAUCGGAAAUCAGGCACAAAUCACCCAUCUCUUCCACCAUAAACUGAAAGGGAUCUCCCAUUAACCCCAAAACAAGUAUAGAAAUAGAAUUAGGGAAGAGCAGAGUUGGAAGUCUCUCUUCUCCCCCUUUCCUUAAAGUGGUGUGUGUGAUGCUAUCUCCAGAUUUGGGAAAGAGAGUUUAUUGAAGAAGAAAGAAGAACUAAACGGUAAAUAAGGAGGAGAGAAAGGGAUGGGUGGGAGCUCUGAUACAGCAUGUGAGGGAAGUGAGUGAGUGAGCAGAGGGAAUCUUGUUAAGGCAGGAGGAUGGAUGGGGAAACUUCAUUUUAGUUGAUCCUAACGGCUAGUUUUAUGUAGGGUUGGUUGUAACUAAGGUCUUUCUGUUCGUUGGAGACUUAAUGCAACGGCUAUAUUUCGUGGGGCACCCACAUGCCCUAAAUUACAAAAUUGACUAAAAGUCUCUGGUUGCCGUUGGAAAGUUGACCAGGACACUAACGGCCUCCGCCCCAUCAAAUCAAUUUACUACCACAGCUAGAGAUUUACCUCGUAUCCAGAGUGGAUAAUUACCGCAGGCAAGUUGCUUGUCCCCGCUUUAGAGACCUUGAACUGUAUUUACUCAAAAUAUUGUGAUCAACCGUUGCUUACGUACGGCCAUUAAUCAGAAGAGGGAUGGGAUGGAGGAAGUUAUUUUUUAUGUGUCCUUGCCUCAGUUAUUUUUAAUGGUAUAAAAAAAGUUAUUUUUUGGCAUUAUAUUAAGAAGCGUUAAUGAAUCAAAUAUGGUACAAGGAGUUACCCAUAACAUUUUCAUAAUUUUCAGCAUAUGAAUUGUCAUCUUAGGAAGUUACAUAUGAAGACAGCGUUUGAUGAACUUUUUUAAUAUCGUCAGUCAAAAUGAUAUGGGCAGUGGCAUGAGCGUACGGUAUGAGAGACCAUGAUGAAUGCGUGUAAACAUAUGUUACUAAAAUAAACAUCCUUAAUUAUUAUUAAUUUUGGUCAAGCGUGCCGUGAGAGCUGGAAUUUCUCAAAACAUCAUCAUUUUAAACUCUUCAAGUAAAAAUCAAUUUGCAUUUACUUUCACUUUUUCUUGUACAGUUUUAUCAGUUUUAACUUUUAAGUCAUUAAGAACCAUGUUACACUCAACCCAAGUUCACUCUUCUUUUGAUUGCACCUAACGACGGUUUAAUUCGGGUCCUUGGACCCAGGUCUGCCCUGGGCCUGACCCAAACCCACCUCAAUAUGUUAUUAAGUGAUGGUAUAUCUGUGCUUCUAAAUCAGACGUUGCAUUUGUUUUAUACACAAAAAAUAAUUUUUUUUUUUUUUCAAAAUUGAAGUUGAAUUGAAGCCUCAGUUGUCAACGGAGGUUUCAUUUUUUAAUUGAAGUCUCAGUUGUUAAUUGAGGCUUCAUUUUUUAACUAAAACCUUAAUUGACAAUUGAGGUUUGAGUUGAUUUUUUUUAUUUUAAAAUUUAAUUAAAAAUAUUAAAUUAUAAAUUAUUAUUAAAAUUAAAAAUAUAUUUUAAUAAUUAAAAUUUAUAUAUUUAAACUUAAAUAUAUAAUAUUACUUCAAUAAAGAUAAAUUGAUAUAUAUAAUAAUAAAUAAAUAUUUUAUUUAUCAAUAAAUUAAUAAUCUUAAAAUAAUAAAAUUAUAUGAACUCUAAAAUAUAAAAUUAUAUAAUUUAUUAAUUUAAGAUAUUUAAUUUAUUUUAUUUUUAAGAUAUUAAUUAAUUUAUAUUUUCACAUAUUUAUCUUUAUUAAAAUAAUAAUAUAUUCUUAAGCUUAGAUUUUUUAUUAUUAUUUUAAAGCAUACAUUUAUAGUUGAAAUUGACUCAUGUUGGACUCGCCUACAAGAAGAGAGCCUAGUAACAACCAAUUCUGACAUCUCUGGUGAGGUCUUGUCUUGAUCAUAACAAUCUCGAGUCUACUCACAAUUGAGAAUAUCCCUUGACAAUGGGAUAGGUCAACGUAUGAUGUUCUACCGUUUUAGUUUUGAGGCGGUGGAUCCUAUUGAAUCAAUUACAACGAGAAAAACUAUGGUGGUCCUUGACUAUCCAUUGUGCUUCGCAGGUCUCAAAGUGUACAAAACAAAUAGGACAAGGAUUACAAUUGGUUUUGAGCCAACUGUAGCCAAAUUCAUCCGAUUUAAUGGAAGUUAUACAACUUUUCUCUUUUCUUUGUGCUUAUCAGAGAAUUCACCCAACAGUAAUGGUCUGGAUGAACUCAUUUCCUACACAAAAGGAUGUUCAAACGGGUGAUUUGGGUACACAUCUUCAAAGCCUAAGUCAAACAAGGAUAGAUCAAGUUGCUUUGUGAGAGAGAAUAGAUAGGCAUAUGUGUGUACACGUACCUCAUGUGUGCUUCGUUAGACGGUUUUUAUAAUGCUAAAGAGAGUGUCAUUGUAGUGCUGACUAGACACUUUGACUCUUAUUGUAAUGAUGAUUGUCUUACAGGCGGUUGGGUAAUCAUCACAGUUUUGGGUGUCUGGCAAGUGUCAUCAGCUGACGUGUCAUGACUUAAAACUUAAAACUAUGCUACCGCUUAUCCCUUCAGUCUGUUGAUAGUCUAGGGUUAUAUACAAGAAUUAAUUGACAUGGAUUUGAGGGCUAGAAGAAGUCCCAUCAAGCGUUCAUAUGUCAAGUGUAAAUGACCACACAAGUCAAUGGGUCUUGAAGGCUUGAUUGGACGAUCCUAUCUAUUUGGGGAGUCCGAUUUCUCCUUAUCGUCUGGUCCUGUAGGGGAAAAGGGCCUCAUUUUGCCUGGUGUUAGAUAGAACUAGUAGUGAUCCAAACAGAAUGAUCCAGAUGGGUUGCAUGCACGUGCUAGAUGGUCAAGGUGUCCGGGUUGGAAAAAGGACACGUGGAAGAGAGUCCCCCACAAUCACCACUUGGAUAUGUUGAUCAAGUUAUUGACUAACCCAAGCAUAAUCCAAAUUAAGAAACAAUCAACUCAAGUUCAAUCCCAUUUCAUUUUUUUUAAACUCAAAUUGAUCAAAUUCAUAUUAAACUUGGUUUGGUUGGAUUGCAGGAUUCAAAAUUAAUAUCCAAUGCUUAUAAAAAUAUUUUUCUAUAUAAAUAUAUCAAAAUUCAAAUAAUAAUAAGACAAAGUUUUAAGAUAGUAACAAAAUAAAUAAAUAAUUCAUAUUAUUGUAUAUAAAAUAUUAUAAAUAUUAUAAAAACGUUAAUUUAAGGUUGGGUUAGUCUUGAAUUGUUUUUAUGUGAAAAAAUCUAACCUAACCUCAAUAUAAAUAUUAAAAAUGAUUGUUAAAAUUCACUUAAACAUAUGAUUGAAUUAGGUCAACUCACCCAAAUUGCACUCCUAGAAGACCCUUUGGUUGGACAAUUCCUUAUACUUUCAUAAUAGAGAGGUGGGAGGUGGGAAGUGUUUUCGGUAACUUCAUAGGAGCUUUGAUCAAAAGUGCCUGCCCAGAUUCGGAUCCACCUGGGUGGCCCUGGUGACCGGCUCCUCAAUUCUUGCUUCUCCCUUGCACCCCAUUCCGGUCCUCAUCCCCAUGAAACAGGACUUGAAAAUUUUGGAAAUUGGAUAUGAAUAAUGGAAUCAUAUUUUCAAACAUAUUACAUCCCAAAAAUAGAGAUAUGAUUAUCCCCUACUACACCGUGGGAUAAAACUUUUCCAAAAAGGUUUGCUAGCAAGUAAAAAAUAUGAUUUACGGAUCCAUUGGGCUCAAUGCCGGCUCCAAAAUUGCUCCGAGUGCUUCCCCAUUUAAAGCUUGGGUAACACAUUCAAACACUUUACUGCUGAACCGGCCCGCCCAGAAAGAAAAACCUCAUAACAAAUCCAAGAAACACUUCUUGAAUGGUGAUGGAGAAAAGCACAUUCCAUAUUACAGUUUUAAACCUCCCUCCCACCAACAUUAAGGAAUCGAGAGGCUCAAUUAUUCGACAGUGCAUACAAAUCUUAUACCUACAAAUACCUCAAUCAUAUACCUACAAAUCCCUUCCACUCUCUAUGGGAAUCCAAACCCUUGGGGUACUGUUUGUGGCCACCACAAUCAACACCUUGUAAUCCAAGCCAUGCAGCCAGCAACAUGAAUCAAACCCAAGAGCUUGUGCGUCUACCACACAUCGAGGCAUUCACCCAAACCAACUGGACACCCAUACUUUGCCUUAUUCCAUUACAUCUAUCAUUGAUUGCUAACAAACAGAUCAAAACAAAAUGCUUAACCCAAGGGCAAUGGAAACGCGCAUUUUAUAACUCCUAUAGACUUUGCAGCAAUCACCCUAACUACAUGCCAAUAUUUUUCUCCUCAAUUAAAAACACCAUCAUUUAGCAACACUUAAAUUUAAUUCAUCAACUAAUCUUACUGUCUGUUCAUAUAUAAUUCUCGCUUUUCCUUGACUGGUAUGUCUUUCUUAUACAAAUUACAUUCAAUGAGCAAAUCUCCUCGUCAGUCAUCUGAUUCUAAUCCUAUGAACAGCUUGCUCUUCAACGUAUCUGUCAAGAGAGCAAAAAUGAUCACUAUAACAAUCGACAUGAGUAUCCUGAAAGAUCCCUUAACAGCACAUGACCCUGGAUGAUAUUGCAAAUUACUUGCAACCAGCAGAAAAGGAAGCCAAUUUGUUGUGUCAUCAAAAUCAAAACAGGUAUAUCAUUGAAGCAGGCGCAUCAAUAAAUUGGGCAUAUGUAAAAGAAAAUAAAUGAUAAAUUAGGCCAUUUUCAUUUUGUAGCCUCAAUGGAAACGAUAGGACUUUUGUGUUGAAUGCAGAUCUGAGAUAAAACCCUAGCAAAACCAUUCUACGGAAUACAAAUCUCUAAAAGAUAGAAGAAAAUAUGCAUUCCCCAGAGAAUCGAAGUAAAAUUAGAUCUCCACAAAUGAAUGGAAGAACAAAUUAACAAAUAUAAUCAAUCAUAAAGAAAAUUACAGGGUAAGUACGAUGGGCCUGAAAGAUCCAUCACCAGAUGUUCAAAAGGAGAAUAUAUCCGUACAUUUUCGCAUCAAGAUCCAACCUAUAUAUAUUUUUAUGACGAAAAUUUCGAUUAUUCAAUUUUUUUUUCUACCGAACAAUAAAAUUUGAUCGAAAGUUAAACAAGCAAUCACAAAAUUACCCCUAACAAUCGCCGUCGGGAUGGAUGGUUGUAACCCUCAAACGCGUCCGGCGACCACAGGAGCGACAUUGGAGGGGGUAGCGCCUAGAAAUGACAAGAAUCCAGUAGCGGCGGGAUCUUGCUCGUCGAGGAAGAGAUCGUCGGGAACUCUAAAUGCGCCGUGAGCGCAAACGAUGGCCGCACCGACCAUGAGAGCGGAGAUGAGAACGGAUCCGACGCUGGUGAGGAAAAUGACGACGACGCUGAGGACAACGAGGAUGCCAAGGGUCUCGCGGUCGGAGAAAGUGCGGCCGAAGAGGACGAGAGGAGGAUCGGAGGGGCGGAAGAGGUAGAGGAAGAGCCAGGCGGCGAGGAGAGAAAGGAGGAGGAGGAGAGAGAAAGGGUUGGUGAGGAGAGAGAAGGCAAGGGUAAGGGCGAUGAGGGAGAGGUAGUUGACGCGGAAGUAGGUGUAGUUCUUGCGUACGCGAAGGGCGGCCUCGGAGAAGGACUCGGGGCGGGAGAAAGCGUUGCGGUCGACGAGCUCGGACCAGGGGCGGCGCUGAGCGAAGCCGUUGCGGACGGAAUCGGUGAUGUGGGUGAUAAAUAAGCGGACAGCGGGUGUGGCGACCGGAG